rnacentral:rRNA from 1 species
UACGUAGGGGGCGAGCGUUGUCCGGAGUUACUGGGCGUAAAGCGCUUGUAGGCGGUCCACCAAGUUUGGGGUGACAGUUGCCGACUUAAUCGGCAAAGUGCCUCAAAGACUGGCGGACUUGAGGGCCACAGAGGGACAUGGAACUCCAGGUGUAGUGGUGAAAUGCGUAGAUAUCAGGAGGAACACCGGUGGCGAAGGCGGGUCUCUGGGAAGUAACUGACGCUGAGAAGCGAAAGCAUGGGUAGCAAACAGG